UAAGUUUGUUCUGGGUAUAAGCUUUUGUAGAAGAAGUGUGCAUGCACACAAAAGCUUAUACCCAGAACAAACUUA